AUUGUGUUAUGAAAAUUAUUGACGUUGUAAUGUUGAUGUCCUUUGCGGCCCAUAAUUGGAAAUAAAAUAUUUUCUUCUUCUUCUGUGCAAAAUCGAACAGAAAUCUAAUUAAGCAACAGACGAAAGGAAUAUUCUGUGUCAGAAAAAUCAUCUUGGUGCCCCCAGAAUAUAAAAAAGUCAUCCCGUUUAUUAAUUGAUGUCCAUAUUGUAUUUACUUAAAAAAAAACACUCGAUGUGACAAAAUAUAAUAGUUUGUAUAAGUAUGCAUGUCAGCAUGUAAAAAUGUAAUCUCUCGACCGAACAAGAUAGGUAGUCCAGGUCGUAAAAUACUUUCAUCAACAUUUGUACAUGGUUG
rnacentral:lncRNA from 1 species